CGCGUAGGCGGUUUUACAAGUCAGAUGUGAAAGCCCAUGGCUCAACCAUGGACGUGCAUUUGAAACUGUAAGACUUGAGUAUUGGAGGGGGGUGGUGGAAUUCCCGGUGUAGAGGUGAAAUUCGUAGAUAUCGGGAGGAAUACCAGUGGCGAAGGCGACCACCUGGCCAAAUACUGACGCUCAUGUGCGAAAGCGUGGGGAGCAAACA
rnacentral:rRNA from 1 species